rnacentral:lncRNA from 1 species
GCCAAUUCAUUGGUAUCUAAAGAAGGCAACGGGAGAUCCCCACCAUUCUCCACUUAUCUGGUCAAUUUGGAAGAUUGAAUCUUGAAUUAGAUUGCUUAGCAAUCUAGUUUAGCCCAUGCCAGAUAGAUCAUUCAUAUGAUGACUGAUUAGAUGAGAUCUAAACUCAAAUAUCCUCACAAAUAUUAAGUCUAUAAGUCUUCCACCAUUGUAGAUGUGCGGACAUGCUACCGACGUUGAUUGUUCUCAGCUGGUCAUAGUGGUUCAGCUGCAUCAGAAAUACGCAACCACUCUAUUAACAAAGAGUUACUCCAGGGUAAGGAUAGGGUUGGGCCCAAUAACUG